rnacentral:lncRNA from 1 species
AGACGGUUGUGAUUCAGAUGCAUUAUGUUGGGCUGGAACCGGGUGGUAAAGCUCAUGCCAGCAGGAGCAGCCCAUGACACUCAGAACAGGUUGAGUGAUGCAGAGAAUAAAGAGACAACACAAUAAAAGGAAGUGCUGCCUGCCUAUGUCCCUCCCUGCUGGCUCCCUUAGAAAGCAUCGGCAUCCAUCUGAAGUCUGUGUCCAGGAGUCCCAGACAGGGACCAGCCACAAACAGUCUUUUGCGUGCUCUUCCUUGACUGUGUUCGUGCUGGUGGGGAUGCUGCACAUCGGUUCUCAGAUGCGAGUUGAGAUCAAGGUGAACAGUCAGGAAGAUGACCUCCGCUGAGCAGCAAAGUGAGAAGUGAGGAGAGGGGCUCAGUUCAGAGGCUGGGAACAACCAGGUGACAUCCCAGGCCUACUUGUAUGUGGUAUGGUAGUACCUGACCCUCAAAGAUGGUAAAACAUGGACCUUUCUU